rnacentral:rRNA from 1 species
UGCCCUACGGGGGGCAGCAGUGGGGAAUAUUGCACAAUGGGGGAAACCCUGAUGCAGCGACGCCGCGUGAGUGAAGAAGUAUUUCGGUAUGUAAAGCUCUAUCAGCAGGGAAGAUAAUGACGGUACCUGACUAAGAAGCCCCGGCUAACUACGUGCCAGCAGCCGCGGUAAUACGUAGGGGGCAAGCGUUAUCCGGAUUUACUGGGUGUAAAGGGAGCGUAGACGGUGAGACAAGUCUGAAGUGAAAGCCCGGGGCUCAACCCCGGGACUGCUUUGGAAACUGCCU